rnacentral:misc_RNA from 1 species
AGAGCACGGCGUCUGGAAUGCAGGA